UACAGAGGGGGCAAGCGUUGUUCGGAAUUACUGGGCGUAAAGCGCGCGUAGGCGGCUCUUCAAGUCGAGUGUGAAAGCUCCAGGCUUAACCUGGGAAUUGCGCUCGAUACUGUUGAGCUAGAGUGUGGGAAGGGGCUACUGGAAUUCCGUGUGUAGCGGUGAAAUGCGUAGAUAUCAAGAGGAACACCUGAGGUGAAGACGGGUUGCUGGGCUGACACUGACGCUGGAGGCGCGAAAUGCCAGGGGAGCAAAACGGG
rnacentral:rRNA from 1 species